rnacentral:rRNA from 1 species
GUUAGGAAUAUUGGGCAAUGGAGGAAACUCUGACCCAGCAACGCCGCGUGAAGGAUGAAGGUUUUCGGAUUGUAAACUUCUGUUCUAUGGGAAAAAACAAAUGAUGGUACCAUAGGAGAAAGCCACGGCUAACUACGUGCCAGCAGCCGCGGUAAUACGUAGGUGGCAAGCGUUGUUCGGAAUGACUGGGCGUAAAGGGAGCGUAGGUUGUUUUUUAAGUUAAAUGUGAAAGCCCGGGGCUUAACUCCGGAAUGCCAUUUAAUACUGGAAGACUAGAGUGCAGGAGGGGUGAGCGGAAUUCCUAGUGUAGCGGUGGAAUGCGUAGAUAUUAGGAAGAACACCAGAGGCGAAGGCGGCUCACUGGACUGUUACUGACACUGAGGCUCGAAAGCGUGGGGAGCAAACAGGAUUAGAAACCCCUGUAGUCC